rnacentral:rRNA from 1 species
AUACGUAGGGUGCAAGCGUUAAUCGGAAUUACUGGGCGUAAAGCGUGCGCAGGCGGUUUUGGAAGACAGUGGUGAAAUCCCCGGGCUCAACCUGGGAACUGCCAUUGUGACUGCAAGGCUGGAGUGCGGCAGAGGGGGAGGGGAUUCCGCGUGUAGCAGGGAAGUGCGUAGAUAUGCGGAGGAACACCGAUGGCGAAGGCAAUCCCCUGGGCCUGCACUGACGCUCAUGCACGAAAGCGUGGGGAGCAAACAGGAUUAGAUACCCUGGUAGUCCACGCCCUAAACGAUGUCAACUGGUUGUUGGGGAUUUAUUUUCUCAGUAACGAAGCUAACGCGUGAAGUUGACCGCCUGGGGAGUACGGCCGCAAGGUUAAAACUCAAAUGAAUUGACGGGG